rnacentral:rRNA from 1 species
CAAACGACUCUCGGCAACGGAUAUCCGGUGCAUCGAUGAAGAACGUAGCGAAAUGCGAUACUUGGUGUGAAUUGCAGAAUCCCGUGAACCAUCGAGUCUUUGAACGCAAGUUGCGCCCGAAGCCAUUAGGCUGAGGGCACGUCUGCCUGGGUGUCACG